rnacentral:rRNA from 1 species
UACCGAGGUCUCAAGCGUUGUUCGGAUUCAUUGGGCGUAAAGGGUGCGUAGGCGGCGCGGUAAGUCGGGUGUGAAAUCUCGGAGCUUAACUCCGAAACUGCAUUCGAUACUGCCGUGCUUGAGGGCUUCAGAGGGACACGGAAUUCCGGAUGGAGUGGUGAAAUGCGUAGAUAUCCGGAGGAACACCAAUGGCGAAGGCAGUGUCCUGGGAAGUACCUGACGCUCAGGUGCGAAAGCUAGGGGAGCGAACAGG